GGCGGGACAGUAGCUCAGUUUGGCAGAGCGCUAACGCCGGUCGGCACUAGACGCUCACAUCGCCUGGCCCACAACUUGAUUGCUGCGAGCCGGACGUCGGUCGGUUACCUGGCUCCUAUGGUUCGAAUCCAUACUCCGGUCG
rnacentral:tRNA from 5 species